rnacentral:rRNA from 1 species
GAGUUUGAUCCUGGCUCAGGACGAACGCUGGCGGCGCGCCUAACACAUGCAAGUCGAACGGAGCUGAGAGAAGCUUGCUUUUCUUGACUUAGUGGCGAACGGGUGAGUAACGCGUGAGUAACCUGCCCUGGAGUGGGGGACAACAGUUGGAAACGACUGCUAAUACCGCAUAAGCCCACGGUACCGCAUGGUACUGAGGGAAAAGGAUUUAUUCGCUCUAGGAUGGACUCGCGUCCAAUUAGCUAGUUGGUGAGGUAAAGGCUCACCAAGGCGAUGAUACAUAGCCGACCUGAGAGGGUGAUCGGCCACAUUGGGACUGAGACACGGCCCAAACUCCUACGGGAGGCAGCAGUAGGGAAUCUUCGGCAAUGGACGAAAGUCUGACCGAGCAACGCCGCGUGAGUGAAGAAGGUUUUCGGAUCGUAAAACUCUGUUGGUAGAGAAGAACGUUGGUGAGAGUGGAAAGCUCAUCAAGUGACGGUAACUACCCAGAAAGGGACGGCUAACUACGUGCCAGCCGCCGCGGUAAUAC